AUUCCUAUGCCCCACGUGGGCACUUGCGGCGGCUUGUAAAGUGAGUGAUCACGCACACGGGGGGCACUGGGGGCACGAGCAGACACGAGAAGCUGUGAAGAGGGUAGGAGGUCCAGAUUCCCAGCAGACGGUGUGGUUGUCUCGGCAUACCCUGGGAGGGCAGGUGUUUGAGGGGUGCUGGGGACAGCUUCCCUUUGCAGCCCGUUCCCCUCCACAACCCCCGCCCCCAGCCCCAUGACAACUGCAUGGCCUCUCCCUUUCAUGCUCAGGAUAUUUGAUAAAGUGGCUCAAUAGCAGGGGACUACACUUGCUUGUGUCACAGAAGCUUGGUUUGGUCGCCAUAUCUCUGCAUGAGACCCUUAGGAUCGAAAGGACUGGAGGGCCACCUGGAACCCAUGGGCAAGCCCCCUGCAUGGCUGGUGGCAGCCGGCCAGCUCCGGGGCCUUCUGAGGCCAUAGGCCGUUGCUUGGUCCGGACCAUUACCUUUCUACUCGUUGGAACUGGCUGAACCACACGUCCCUGCUGGGCAGCUCCCUGGAGGGCUGAGAGCUGGCGCUCACUCGCUGCUCCGCCCUGACAGUCCCCCUGCUAUGGCGCAGACAAGAGGCUUCAUCUUUCAGCAGACUACACAAUAGAGGGAAAGAAACAAAAGCACAGACACAAACCGAUCCAUUUGCACAAGUGAACUUACUCUCGGGACUAAAUUCUAGUUCUUGGCACCACAUUCUUCUGAAAUGGUCUUGGAGCAGCAUGGCAGACAAUCUACUGAACCCGUUUCCCCAAAAAAGAGAUGGCAUUCAGCUGCGAGGAGACAGACUCUGCGGUCACAGUAAGGGAAGCACAUCUCGAGCUUCCACCUAAGUCUGGACGGAGAAAGAGCAAGAGAAUUUGCACACAGUCCACUGGUUUUUGACAAAUGCAUAGCUGUGUGGCUCCUAUACAAUCACCUUGCAGAGUCCAUCAUCCUCCUGACGUCCUGAUGCAUCCCCCUGGAGUCAGUCUCUCCUACUCCACUCCAACAACUGCUCAUCUGACCUUCGUCCCUAUGCUCUUCCAGAACGUCACAUAAAUGGCAUCAGCCCGUAGCCUCUUGGUUGGGCGCCUUCCACUUAGCGUGAUGCAUCGGAGCUGCAUCCACCCCUUGUCAGUGCUGAGAGGUACUCCGCUGUGUACAAGGACAGCACCACCGAUGGAUAUUUGGAUUUUUCCUUAUUUCGCAAUGCUGAAAGAUAAAUUGAAGCAAUCUCUGGAAGAUUUUGAACUCUUUGGAGGAAAGAAAGUGUAUAAAGACAAGGCAUCAUUAUCAUCAUAAUCUUGAGCACCACUCUGCCAAGUACACAGAGAAAUUAUUAAUCAUCCCUUAACUUUGACGGAACACAACUAUCAUUUCUGCAAUUGAGAUCUGCAGAUAAUUAGAAAGCACGCUGCCUCAGCCUACCAGUUGCCGCCUUCCCUCCUGAUUACCGGGGUGUCCUUGGGUAGGCCUCGUGCCCAUGACAGCCGCCAGGACGCAGCCGAGGCGCCGCGGCGGCAAGUGUGCUUGGGGAGAGCGCGCGCCGGCGACAGGACUCCCUGGCACAGUGUUCUGGGAAGCGGCACACUCGGCCUGUCUCUGUCACUUGUUAGAUGUGGUUUAAUUAAGCAAGGAGGGUCACCGUGGGGAAGCCUGCUCUGCCCACGAUUUGAUUUGCGAGAUGGUUGAAACGUUUGGAAGCUCCUUUAAGAGACCAGGUGGUAAAAAUGAGGGGGGUCGUUCACCUGAGUGGUUAGAUGCGGAGCAGCUGAGACACACGACACUUUGUGGAGGGCGUUCCCGGGCGGGGGUGCCUCCGACCUGGUGCUGGGGGCAAGGAGCUGGGGCCACCCGGUGCCCCGGGGGCUCCUCGUGCACCCACCUGCAGGCCCCGCCAGGCCGAGGGGGCCUGGAUCCCUGGGAAGGCAGGGAAGUCUGCCCCCCCCCUUUAUUAUUUUGAUGCAGUCAUAGGUUCACCCUGGCUGUAAGACGUAACGCACGGGGAUGGCGCCCUCUCCGUCAUCAGUGUCCCUCUGCAAGGACACCCUGCAGGACCGCGGCAAAUCGCACAGCCAGGCUGUCGGCCCGGAUGCAAAGCCCGGCCCCGUUGGGGUCUCCCGCUCCCCUUUGUGCGUGCUUGUGUGUGCGUGUCGCUCUCGCGGCUCGGCCAAGGCGCCUCCGCCUCGCCGUCCUGGUCUGGAGAGGCGGCCUCGCUGUCUCUGCUCUCCGAGCGUGGCAGGGAUGUGGCGAGGACUCCAUAAAUCUUCGCUGAAGAACUGUUCAACUCCCCCUGAAGGGAACCGUAGGACUUUCAUGCCGAAUCAGAGACGUGAUAAGGAAGCAUUUGUCAAAAUAGAUGAGGCCCUGGCAAAGUCCCAUCAGCCAAGGGCUUCGAGCAGAGCGUAUGCCGGCAGCACAGCAGCGGAGGCUCUCUGCGGGCGCGUCUGUCCGCACGUGAGACACGCGUGGCUGGGCCUGCCAGCAGAUCGUCGCAUCUCGAGCAUCUGAAGCAUCUUCAGGCGUCCAGUCCCGGUGCUGUGACGGCCUCCUCUCGCGGAGUGACGCAGAUGCCGGAGGACCGUGGGCAGGAGCAUCCUCAGGGCUCUAAUGAGGAGCUUCCAAGCCUCUAGGGCAUCGCCUCCGAUUGCCAUGCCCUGGGACACGUCACAGCAGCUCCUACUGGUUUGCAAGACACGUGUCCUGGGCAGCGGGUGGCACGCAGGCCUGGACGCCGUCCAUGCUCUCGGUGGCGCUCCGUCCGCAGCAGGCUCCUCCGCUGCCGCAGCCGACGCUGUGAGGGUAGAAGGGUAGUGACACGGCGGCAGCUUGGGGGUGGCUGCGUGCUAGCUGCACCACAGGAGAGUGGUGGGCACGUGGGCACGUGGUCCUCGCGUGGUCCUCACAUGGUCGUUGCACGGAAGUGGCGUGGACGUUGUGCGGCAGGUGUGUGAUGACAGCAUGAUCCUUACGCGGCAGGCACAUGGUCGGCGUGUGGCUAUGUCGUACCCACACGGUACGGGCGUCAUAGAUGCGAGCUGCGGCGACUGGUACUUGGGGACAGCUCCAGGUGCUUAGAAGAGCCGUGACCUGGAUCCAGACAGACACAUGGUCAGGUCCUGGUUGCACCGCUGACCGCCGUGUGAGAGCCCUCGGUGCGCCGGCUCCCGCCCGUUGCGGCCGCACGGUGCCCUCUGCGGACUUGCACUCAGCGGGGCAAACUCUGCAUGUGCCACACGGGGCUUGGUUUAUCGUUGGAGGAGCUCAAAUCAUCUGACCCUCAACCAACAGAAACCAAAAGGCGUUCGUGCCUCUCGGGGCCGAGGCCUGCACCGGGGGCCGGCACCCCCGUGUCAGGGGAGCGAAGGGCAGCGGCGGUGUCCCAGGGGUGGAAAUGUCCCCGGGCAGCACGCUAUGCAGCACGGGCCACCGCGGGCACGACAGUGUCCUGAGUCAGGCUCACCGUCCCGUAGGCCUCACCUGCCUGGUGCGGAAACACCACCGGCCCUCCUGCGGAGCGGGGAGGGGCCGAGGGGCCGAGACCUUCCCCCACAUACGGGUUCUUGCACAACGGAUGCAGCCCCCCAGGUUUCUCCAUCGGGAAGCAGGGACAAGCCCCAGUACUGGCGGGGCCGGCUACAGAGGCAGCGCUCGCGUUGCGCAGUCCCUCCCCGCCUCCCUGGGCCACGUGCCCCGGCCUUGAGCAGUCUCUGCCCUGAGUCCCCCACCCCGUGCCUUCGCCUGGACCGACCCCCCUCGGCCCUGCCGGCGUGGCUCGGCCAAUCCGGUCCCGGGACACAGGCAGGCCUGCAGGGUCCGGGGGCCUGACCCGCCUCGGAUCUUGCUCCUCCCACUUCGGUCUCUUCACAACAACGAAGUGGAGCGAGUGGAAGUCAGAUGAGGAGUUUCAACAGCGCAGU